UCGCAAGUUGAAUAAUGCAGACAGUGGAUGCCUUGCUUCUUAUCUCCGAAAAAGGACGUACAUAGCCACGAAAGUCGCCGGGUAGCUGCUACGAAGCUUUGAUCCGACGGUGUCCGAAUGGGGAAACCCAUCGCGUUUUACGCGAUACUCUGUGGUAAAAACGUCGACGCAAGUCGAUGUAUAGCCGCUGAGGGGAAACCGCCCGAACUGAAACAUCUAAGUAGGGCGAGGAAUAUAAAUCAAAUCGAGAUUCCGCCAGUAGCGGCGAGCGAAAACGGAAUAGUCUAAAUGCGUGAGCAGCACGCAGGACAUACGACAUAGAUUGAAGAACUCGGGGUUAAACCCUUGUUCUUUGUUCUACGAACUGUGUUCUGCAUGCUGCGCAUGCACGUUGCGGGAGCCCAAUAUGGGAUUAGUAUUUAAUAGCAGAAUGGUCUGGAAUGGCCAAUCAUAGGGAGUGAAAAUCUCGUAUGCAAAAUUAAAUAUUACCCUAGGGAUUUCCCAAGUACCACGGAGCACAUACUCUGUGGGAAUCGGGGGGAACCAUCCUCCAAGACUAAAUAAGAUAAGAGAGCGAUAGUGAACUAGUACCGUGAGGGAAAGGUGAAAAGCUGGGUGAGACACCCAAUGAAAUAGAACCUGAAACUGUUUGCAGUCAAACCGUGAGAGCCCCAAUUUAUUGGGGUGAUCGCGUGCCUAUUGAAGAAUGAGCCGGCGAGUUUUCAAUUAUUUCCAGUCUAAGUCGUCUAAGACGAUGGAGGCGUAGGGAAACCGAGUGUUAAUAGCGCGUCAGAAAUAAUUGGAAGACCCGAAACCAGGUGAGCUAACCUCGAGCAGGGUGAACCAAGCAGAAAUGCUUGUGGGAGGCCCGAACCCGUUGUUGUUGCAAUAACAUGGGAUGACUUGUGGUUAGGGGCAAUAUACUUAUCAGAAAGCCGCAUCGGGCUAAGCUGAUGCGACGAAAGGGAAACAACCCUUGACUCUCAGUUAAGGCCUCUAAAUUACAACUAAGUUUGAAAGGAAGUUUCUUUUCUCAGACAGCCAGGAGGUUGGCUCAGAAGCAGCCACCCUUUAAAGAUAGCGUAACAGCUCACUGGUCGAUGGGAGGAAGCGCCGAAGAUUUAUCGAGGAUAAGUUGUAUGCCGAAGCUAGAGAUUUUACACCGUGAGGUGUGGAGUGGUAGGGGAGCGUUCCAAUUGCGGUGAAGCUCUGGCUGUAAGGCCGGGUGGAGCGGUUGGGAGUGAGAAUGUCGGCUUGAGUAGCGCACAACGCUAGUGAGAAUCUAGCGCGUCGAAUGUCCAAGGUUUCCACUGCAAGAUUCGUUCUCAGUGGGUUAUUCGGUACCUAAGGCGAGGCCGUUUUGGCGUAGUCGAAUGGAUGAUUGGUUAAAAUUCCAAUAUUUGUGUUAAAUCGUUAUCAACUAGGGAUUUACUAAGCAGGAAUUUCGGAGCUUUUUCGUGAAGUAAAGUGCAGAAGCCAAAACAGUUGUGAUUGGAAAAUCCGUCGCAGCGUUUAAUUAAGGUGGUGCAAAGUCUUCCGCGAGGGAGGCGAUUCCGAACGUUUCAGUUUACGAGAAAAGAUUCGUAGUGAGAGUUAACAUAAGCCGUACCGCAAACCGACACAGGUGGACUGGGGGAGUACCCUAAGACGAUCGAGAGACAAAUCCUCAAGGAACUCGGCAAAAAAACUACCCGUAACCUCGGGAGAUGGGUUGCCUUGCUUAAAAACAAGGUGGCAC
rfam:Microgenomates bacterium GW2011_GWC1_46_16 TX38_C0018, whole genome shotgun sequence.